CAGUUAUUGGGUAUCAAAACCUAAUAGCGAAAUUAACAUAACUUUUAUGGGAUUAGUUUUUAGAUUAUUUAUAGUCUAUUAAUUCAAUCCCGGGGCGUUCUAUAUAGUUAUGUAUAAUAAUAUUUAUAUUAUUUAUACCUCUAACUAGAGCGUACCUUGAGCAUAUAUGCUGUGACCCGAAAGAUGGUGAACUAUACUUGAUCAGGUUGAAGUCAGGGGAAACCCUGAUGGAAGACCGAAACAGUUCUGACGUGCAAAUCGAUUGUCAGAAUUGAGUAUAGGGGCGAAAGACCAAUCGAACCAUCUAGUAGCUGGUUCCCUCCGAAGUUUCCCUCAGGAUAGCUGGUGCAUUUAAAUAUUAUGUAAAAUAAUCUUAUCUGGUAAAGCGAAUGAUUAGAGGCCUUAGGGUCGAAACGACCUUAACCUAUUCUCAAACUUUAAAUGGGUAAGAACCUCACCUUUCUUGGUAUGAAGGUUGUGGUUGUGAUAUAAUGUGCCCAGUGGGCCACUUUUGGUAAGCAGAACUGGCGCUGUGGGAUGAACCAAACGUAAUGUUACGGUGCCCAAAUUAACAACUCAUGCAGAUACCAUGAAAGGCGUUGGUUGCUUAAAACAGCAG
rnacentral:rRNA from 1 species